CCCCUCUCAGAAUUACACCUGAAGAGUUUCCAGGACUCUACCAGUCCUAGCUAUGGGAGGGAGAGUUAAGCAGAGGCCUACCUAUUCCAUUGCUAGCUUGGACAGUGGCUAGUAAGUGGAAGGCAAUCUGCUACAAGU